GCUCCUGAGUAGCUGGGAUUACAGGCGCCCUCCACCACGCCCGGCGAAUUUUUGUAUCUUUAGUAGAGACAGGGUUUCACCACGUUGGCCAGGUUGGUCUUGAACUCCUGACCUCAUGAUCCGCCUGCCUCGGCCUCCCAAAGUGUUGGGAUUACAGGUGUGAGCCACCGCACCCGGCCUCUGAGAAAUAUUUAGAUUGUACGCCUCAAAUGGGCAGGGACUGUGUCUUACACUUUUGUAUUUAUGCUACAGCUUACCUAAUACAGUGCCAGGCCUCGUUAAACACUUAUUGAUUGCUCAGACGAUAAAGAACUUGCUUUGGAAGGAGGAGAGGAUAGUCAUGUGCUUCUGAAUGUAUUGAACUUCUUGAAAUCUCUUUCCUCAUCAAUUUUAGCAGAGUUUCUAUUGAAACUCCUAGGGUGUGUUUAUGGAAGACAAACUGAGAUGUGCUGUCCCAGCCUUAGGCCCUGGCAGUACGCCUUGCCUUUUCACGGCACACCCACUACAGCCUUUCCCACACUGUGACACUGGAGCUGGUGAGUCAAAGUUGAAGAUUAUUCUCUCUUCUAAAGAAAAUAGAAGAAUAUUAGGAGAAAAGACACUUGAAAAUGUUCACUCUUUUAUUCACAUUACAUCAUCUGUCUUGAAUAAUGG
ensembl:lncRNA LINC02210 long intergenic non-protein coding RNA 2210